rnacentral:rRNA from 1 species
GACGAACGCUGGCGGCGUGCUUAACACAUGCAAGUCGAACGGAAAGGCCCUGCUUUUGUGGGGUGCUCGAGUGGCGAACGGGUGAGUAACACGUGAGUAACCUGCCCUUGACUUUGGGAUAACUUCAGGAAACUGGGGCUAAUACCGGAUAGGAGCUCCUGCUGCAUGGUGGGGGUUGGAACGUUUCGGCGGUUGGGGAUGGACUCGCGGCUUAUCAGCUUGUUGGUGGGGUAGUGGCUUACCAAGGCUUUGACGGGUAGCCGGCCUGAGAGGGUGACCGGCCACAUUGGGACUGAGAUACGGACCAGACUCCUACGGGAGGCAGCAGUGGGGAAUAUUGCACAAUGGGCGGAAGCCUGAUGCAGCAACGCCGCGUGCGGGAUGACGGCCUUCGGGUUGUAAACCGCUGUCGCCUGUGACGAAGCGUGAGUGACGGUAAUGGGUAAAGAAGCACCGGCUAACUACGUG